rnacentral:rRNA from 1 species
UACGAAGGGGGCUAGCGUUGCUCGGAAUCACUGGGCGUAAAGGGUGCGUAGGCGGGUCUUUAAGUCAGGGGUGAAAUCCUGGAGCUCAACUCCAGAACUGCCUUUGAUACUGAAGAUCUUGAGUUCGGGAGAGGUGAGUGGAACUGCGAGUGUAGAGGUGAAAUUCGUAGAUAUUCGCAAGAACACCAGUGGCGAAGGCGGCCAUCUGGGCAUUAACUGACGCUGAGACGCGAAAGCGUGGGGAGCAAACAGG